rnacentral:pre_miRNA from 1 species
AGGUUGGGAUUUGCUGCAAGUAUGAGAAAGUUUUGGCGCCAUAUUGCACUUGUCCCGGCCUGC